UUGGAGGUAAUUAUGCUGACCAUCUUCCUUUUCUCAGGAGGGCCUGGUGUGCAAUGGAGGUAGUAUAUGUAACCUUUUGCUUGUAUGGGUUGCUCUAAGGGACAUUACUUUCUGAU
rnacentral:snoRNA from 1 species